GGUCAGUGGUGGUAUUACGCAGCUUUCCGCCGAAAGGCGGAUUGAAAAACGAGGUGAAUUCGGGGAAAUCCUAAAAAAACAAAAUUCUUGGAUGAGAGUCCAGAAGGACAAUCCCGAGCCAAGCCCUUCACAUGUUAAAGAAAAUUUUUAAGGGAAGGUGUAGAGACUAUCCCGAAAGGGAGUACUCUCCGAUGUUACAUCGGAGCGGAAGCGCCUCGCUCCUACAUUCUAAAUUAAACAAAGAACAAGGAGAUGAUAUAGUCCGUGCCAUUGGUAACAGUGGG
rnacentral:ncRNA from 1 species